rnacentral:rRNA from 1 species
GCAGUCGCCGCGGUAACACAGAGGGUGCGAGCGUUAAUCGGAUUUACUGGGCGUAAAGCGUGCGUAGGCGGCUUCUUAAGUCGGAUGUGAAAUCCCUGAGCUUAACUUAGGAAUUGCAUUCGAUACUGGGAAGCUAGAGUAUGGGAGAGGAUGGUAGAAUUCCAGGUGUAGCGGUGAAAUGCGUAGAGAUCUGGAGGAAUACCGAUGGCGAAGGCAGCCAUCUGGCCUAAUACUGACGCUGAGGUACGAAAGCAUGGGGAGCAAACAGGAUUAGAUACCCGGGUAGUCCCUGUCUCUUAUAA